CGUGCCAGCAGCCGCGGUAAUACGUAGGGGGGCGAGCGUUUUUCCGGAAUGACUGGGCGUAAAGGGCGCGUAGGCGGCUAGAUAAGUUUGGAGUGAAAGUCCCGCUUUCAAGGUGGGAAUUGCUUUGAAAACUGUUUAGCUUGAGUGCAGAAGAGGAAAGCGGAAUUCCCGGUGUAGCGGUGAAAUGCGUAGAGAUCGGGAGGAACACCAGUGGCGAAGGCGGCUUUCUGGGCUGUAACUGACGCUGAGGCGCGAAAGCGUGGGGAGCGAACAGGAUUAGAUACCCUGGUAGUCCACGCGGUAAACGAUGAAUGCUAGGUGUAGGGGGUAUCGACCCCUCCUGUGCCGGAGUAAGCACAAUAAGCAUUCCGCCUGGGGAGUACGGCCGCAAGGUUGAAACUCAAAGGAAUUGACGGGGGCCCGCACAAGCAGCGGAGCAUGUGGUUUAAUUCGAAGCAACGCGAAGAACCUUACCAGGUCUUGACAUCGAUCUAAUCCUCAGAGAUGGGGAGUGCCCUUCGGGGCAGGAGAAGACAGGUGGUGCAUGGUUGUCGUCAGCUCGUGUCGUGAGAUGUUGGGUUAAGUCCCGCAACGAGCGCAACCCUUAUGAUCAGUUACUAACGGGUAAGGCCGAGGACUCUGAUGAGACUGCCGGGGACAACUCGGAGGAAGGUGGGGACGACGUCAAAUCAUCAUGCCCCUUAUGACCUGGGCUACACACGUGCUACAAUGGCGGUAACAAAGAGGAGCGAAGCCGUAAGGUGGAGCGGAUCUCAAAAAGGCCGUCCCAGUUCGGAUUGUGGGCUGCAACCCGCCCACAUGAAGUCGGAGUUGCUAGUAAUCGCGAAUCAGCAUGUCGCGGUGAAUACGUUCCCGGGCCUUGUACACACCGCCCGUCACACCAUGGGAGUUGGGAGCACCCGAAGCCGGUGAGCCGACCGCAAGGAGGCAGCCGUCGAAGGUGAGACCGAUGACUGGGGUG
rnacentral:rRNA from 1 species